rnacentral:rRNA from 1 species
GUGUCAGCCGCCGCGGUAAUACGGAGGAUCCGAGCGUUAUCCGGAUUUAUUGGGUUUAAAGGGUGCGUAGGUGGAUUGAUAAGUCAGCGGUGAAAGUUUGCAGCUUAACUGUAAAAUUGCCGUUGAAACUGUCGGUCUUGAGUGCAAAUGAGGUAGGCGGAAUGUGUUGUGUAGCGGUGAAAUGCUUAGAUAUAACACAGAACUCCGAUUGCGAAGGCAGCUUACUGGGAUGCAACUGACACUGAUGCACGAAAGCGUGGGUAUCAAACAGGAUUAGAUACCCUGGUAGUCCACGCAGUAAACGAUGAAUACUAGCUGUAUGCGAUAUACCGUAUGUGGCACAGCGAAAGCGUUAAGUAUUCCACCUGGGGAGUACGUUCGCAAGAAUGAAACUCAAAGGAAUUGACGGGGGCCCGCACAAGCGGAGGAACAUGUGGUUUAAUUCGAUGAUACGCGAGGAACCUUACCCGGGCUUGAAAUGCAGAAGACCGAAGUGGAAACACUUCUUCCAGCAAUGGCUUCUGUGUAGGUGCUGCAUGGUUGUCGUCAGCUCGUGCCGUGAGGUGUCGGCUUAAGUGCCAUAACGAGCGCAACCCUUGCCAAUAGUUACUAUCAGGUUAUGCUGAGGACUCUAUUGGGACUGCCAUCGUAAGAUGCGAGGAAGGUGGGGAUGACGUCAAAUCAGCACGGCCCUUACGUCCGGGGCGACACACGUGUUACAAUGGGGGGUACAGAGGGUUGCUACCUGGUGACAGGAUGCUAAUCUCAUAAAUCCUCUCUCAGUUCGGAUCGAAGUCUGCAACUCGACUUCGUGAAGCUGGAUUCGCUAGUAAUCGCGCAUCAGCCAUGGCGCGGUGAAUACGUUCCCGGGCCUUGUACACACCGCCCGUCAAGCCAUGGAAGCCGAGGGUACCUGAAGUACGUGACUGCAAAGAGCGUCCUAGGGUAAAAUUGGUGACUGGGGCUAAGUCGUAACAAGGUAGCC